CCAAAGAUCCCAUAGCGAAGCAAGAUAGACCACACCUUCUAAAUGCAACGUGCUGACGUGUAGUGCGCUACGCAACGGAGAGCAGAGCUCCUCUAAUCAACGUUGUGGGGGAACAGGUAUCAGGGCCGCCAACAUUGGACAACUGGCCUCAGUUCCCUGCUCACAUCUGGUAAUGUUCUCCGUCUGAACCAGGGGCCGCGGAGCGUUUUUGAAAGUGGGGGGGCUGAGCAAUCACAGAUCACUGGCCUUGGGGGUACCCAAGCUCACGGACCUAUACACCAGGAGGUGCAGAUCCAGAGCCAGCAAGAUAAUGAAGGAACCCUACCACCCCAGCAACGGACUGUUCCAGCUGCUACAGUCAUGCAAGCACCUCCGAUGUCAUGCUGCGAAAACAAAGAGGAUGAGACGGAGUUUCUUCCCACAGGCCAUUAGAACUGUCAACUCUAAUCUCACCAUUACUGUUGUGUCUUUUUUUCCCUAAAGUGUAAAUACUGGUUCUGUUCUGUUCUGUUGUUUUGUACAAUCCACAGGCAUUGCCACUUUCAUUUCACUCCACAUCUUGUAUGUGCAUGCGACAAAUAAAGUUGACUUGACUUGA